UCGAGGAUCAUUUGCAAUGGGCGCAAGCCUGACAAUGCGACGCUGCGUGGAGGAUGACGGCCUUCGGGUUGUAAACUCCUGUCGUCCGGGAACAAUAUCGGGAGGAUUAACACUCCUUCCGGUUGAUAGUACUGGAAGAGGAAGUCACGGCUAACUCUGUGCCAGCAGCCGCGGUGAUACAGAGGUGGCAAGCGUUGUUCGGAUUUACUGGGCGUAAAGGAUGCGUAGGUGGCUUUGCAUGUCAGAUGUGAAAUAUCAUCGCUUAACGAUGAAAGUGCAUUUGAAACUGCAAGGCUAGAGUACAAGAGAGGAGCAUGGAAUUCUUGGUGUAGCGGUGAAAUGCGUAGAUAUCAAGAAGAACACCGGCAGCGAAGGCGAUGCUCUAGACUGAUACUGACACUGAGGCAUGAAAGCUGGGGGAGCAAACAGG
rnacentral:rRNA from 1 species